rnacentral:rRNA from 1 species
GACGUAGGGUGCGAGCGUUGUCCGGAUUUAUUGGGCGUAAAGAGCUCGUAGGCGGCUCGUCGCGUCUGCCGUGAAAACCCGCAGCUCAACUGCGGGCUUGCGGUUGAUACGGGCGGGCUGGAGUUCGGUAGGGGAGACUGGAAUUCCUGGUGUAGCGGUGAAAUGCGCAGAUAUCAGGAGGAACACCGGUGGCGAAGGCGGGUCUCUGGGACGGUACUGACGCUGAGACGCGAAAGCGUGGGGAGCGAACAGG